UCUUCAAUAUCUCAGUUGGUAGAGUGCAGGAUUGUGGUGGGAAUCCUUAGGUCACUGGUUUGAAUCCAGCUCGAAGGA
rnacentral:tRNA from 1 species